rnacentral:rRNA from 1 species
AGGGUUUGAUUAUGGCUCAGAUUGAACGCUGGCGGCAGCCCUUAUACAUGCAAGUCGAACGAGAAAGUUCCUUCGGGAGCGAGUAAAGUGGCGGACGGGUGAGUAACGCGUAGGAAUCUACCUUUCAGUGGGGGAUAGCUCGGGGAAACUCGAAUUAAUACCGCAUACACCCUUCGGGGGAAAGGGGGCCUCUCCUUGGAAGCUCUCGCUGUUAGAUGAGCCUGCGUGAGAUUAGCUUGUUGGUAAGGUAAUGGCUUACCAAGGCUACGAUCUCUAGCUGGUCUGAGAGGACGAUCAGCCACACUGGGACUGAGACACGGCCCAGACUCCUACGGGAGGCAGCAGUAGGGAAUAUUGGACAAUGGGGGCAACCCUGAUCCAGGCAUGCCGCGUGUGUGAAGAAGGCCUUAGGGUUGUAAAGCACUUUAAGUGAGGAAGAAAAGAUUUAAAUUAAUACUUUAAGUCCCUGACAUUACUCACAGAAUAAGGACCGGCUAACUCCGUGCCAGCCGCCGCGGUAAUAC